CAGAACUUGUUUCCCCACAGCUGCUUGAGUCACUGCACCAGCCAUGUCAGAGGCCUCCAGCCAGCCAGACCUUUUGUUGCUAAAUGUAGCUCACCAGGUCUCAGGUUAACAAGAGAGUCUGAUGACUCUCUGUAAGUCUGGGACUUACAAUCACACAUUUAGCAAAAAGUCUGCAACUGUCAAUGAGCUGUGCAAAGGAACUACAGGAGAAAGUGAACAGGAUGUGCAGUAUUCAAGAUAACAAGCAAGAAAUUGGAAGAGUACCCUGGGAAAAGCCAGCUAACUACAGCAGCCUUUGCAAGAUUAUGCUCCUACAACAGCCUGCACACACUGGCAUGAACCCUUGCAUGAAGAGCAUAAGCAGUGCCCUGAGGCUUCUGUUAUUCUUGUCUGGAGAAUUGAAACAUGACUAAUGUGAAGUGCAAUGCACAUGCUCUUUACUCCCUUGUCUGGCAGUUGAAAAUAUACCACAAUUUUCCCUUUUCAGAGGCCUAGAUUCAGAGAAGAGAGA